rnacentral:rRNA from 1 species
UAGUCCACGCCGUAAACGAUGGUUACUAGCUGUUCGGACUUCGGUCUGAGUGGCUAAGCGAAAGUGAUAAGUAACCCACCUGGGGAGUACGUUCGCAAGAAUGAAACUCAAAGGAAUUGACGGAGGCCCGCACAAGCGGUGGAGCAUGUGGUUUAAUUCGAUGAUACGCGAGGAACCUUACCAGGGCUUAAAUGUAAAGUGACAGAUCUAGAGAUAGAUUUUUCUUCGGACACUCUACAAGGUGCUGCAUGGUUGUCGUCAGCUCGUGCCGUGAGGUGUCAGGUUAAGUCCUAUAACGAGCGCAACCCCUGUUGUUAGUUGCCAGCGAGUCAAGUCGGGAACUCUAACAAGACUGCCAGUGCAAACUGUGAGGAAGGUGGGGAUGACGUCAAAUCAUCACGGGCCCUUACGUCCUGGGGCUACACACGUGCUACAAUGGUAGGGGACAGAGAGCAGCCACUGGGGC